GCACGGAUGAACAGCGGUGCGUUGUUUUCAGAGUAUUCUACAAACACCAACAGCAGCUUCAGGGCUGUCUUCACCACCAAGCGGGACUGAGGAAAGAGGUCAGCACAUAUGAGUGGGGCUUAGGCCAGACCUGUGCCAGCUGUUGCUGGGGAAGGGGAAGGGCUGCUUGGGCUGGACCCAGAGAGAAUCUAGGCAGAAUGACCCUGGCCCCAGGCCGAGGCACUGAAGUGCCUUAUAGGCUUAGAGAGGCCUCAGACUCACUCCCUUCCAGCCCACUUUGCAGAACAGGAAACUGAGGCCCAGAGAGAAGCAACAGGCAAAGGGUAUAAGAGCCACUUACCAGGCUGGCACACAAUGUGUACAGCCACUGAAUAGUCUCACUGUGGGCCACCACCCCCAGCAUUCCAUCCACAAAGAGCAUCAGCUGGCCGAGCGCUGGGGAAACAGGGACGGGCAGAGUCAGCAAGGGUCGCUGGAGCAGAGGUCAUGGGAGAGGGGCGGGGCUGACCUCUAAGGAUGUAACUCUGGUAGUUGUGGUCGGCAGCAGCACCCACACGGAUCAGGCAGCUCAGCCCCUCUGAAUGCACGAAUUCAGGCACCAGGUCUUUGUCCUCCUGGAGGCACCAUGGGGGAGUUUAGGGAAGCUUGGGCUACACACUUACCCCCAGCCCACUGCGGGGCCUCACCUGGAAGAUCUGCUUCAGUGAGAAGAGGGAGCGGCGGAGCUCAGGACCACUGGAGCUAUACAGCUUUUCUGCAAAAGUGUUUCACCUGUCUCGGAAGGUAACAUCUCUGGUCCCUGAGAGCUGCCUGCUGAUUUUGCUGGGCCUGGUGCUAGGGGGCAUUGUUUUGGCUGUGGCCAAGAAAGCUGAGUACCAGCUGGAGCCAGGCACCUUCUUCCUCUUCCUGCUGCCUCCUAUUGUGUUGGACUCAGGCUAUUUCAUGCCUAGCAGGCUGUUCUUUGACAACUUGGGUGCCAUCCUCACCUAUGCCGUGGUAGGCACACUCUGGAAUGCCUUCACAACAGGUGCUGCCCUCUGGGGCUUGCAGCAGGCUGGACUUGUAGCCCCUAGGGUGCAGGCUGGCUUACUGGACUUCCUGCUGUUUGGGAGCCUCAUCUCGGCGGUGGACCCUGUGGCCGUGCUAGCUGUCUUUGAGGAGGUGCACGUCAAUGAGACUCUCUUUAUCAUCGUCUUUGGCGAGUCCCUGCUCAAUGAUGCUGUCACCGUGGUGCUGUACAAGGUCUGCAACUCCUUUGUGGAGAUGGGCUCUGCCAAUGUGCAGGCCAUUGACUACCUGAAGGGAGUCGGUCAGUAUUUCCCCGCUCCCAGCUGGCAUUGGAGAUCUGCCUCCCCUGGGUUGCUGAGGCCCUCCCACCCCACAUCAGGACAGAAGAGGCUAUUCGGGUUGCCUCAUCUCCUCUAUAGAGAAAUGGGGUCUGGGAGGGGCUUGCCAGGGAUCCUGGCUCUGGGGUUUUGAGCCCCUGGGAGUGCGGUGGGCAUCAUCCCUCACUCCCUGCCAGGCAGCAGUCUUGUCAGCCCGGGUAGGGUCCGGGCCAGGGGUCAUGCUGACAACCCACUCCUCCCUCAGCCUCCCUGUUUGUGGUCAGUCUGGGCGGGGCAGCCGUGGGCUUAGUCUUUGCCUUCCUCCUGGCCCUGACCACACGCUUCACCAAGCGGGUCCGCAUCAUCGAGCCGCUGCUGGUCUUCCUCCUCGCCUACGCAGCCUACCUCACUGCUGAAAUGGCCUCGCUGUCCGCCAUUCUUGCGGUGACCAUGUGUGGCCUGGGCUGUAAGAAGUACGUGGAGGCCAACAUCUCCCAUAAGUCACGCACAACUGUCAAAUAUACAAUGAAGACUCUAGCCAGCUGUGCUGAGACCGUCAUCUUCAUGCUGCUUGGCAUCUCAGCCGUGGACUCUUCUAAGUGGGCCUGGGAUUCUGGGCUGGUGCUGGGCACCCUCAUCUUCAUCCUGUUCUUCCGAGCCCUCGGCGUAGUCCUGCAGACCUGGGUGCUGAAUCAGUUCCGGCUAGUCCCUCUGGACAAGAUUGACCAAGUGGUGAUGUCCUAUGGGGGCCUGCGGGGGGCUGUGGCCUUUGCUCUCGUCAUCCUACUGGAUAGGACCAAGGUCCCUGCCAAGGACUACUUUGUAGCCACCACUAUUGUAGUGGUCUUCUUCACAGUCAUCGUGCAGGGCUUGACCAUCAAGCCACUGGUCAAAUGGCUGAAGGUGAAGAGGAGUGAGCAUCACAAACCCACUCUGAACCAGGAGCUGCAUGAACACACUUUUGACCACAUUCUGGCUGCAGUGGAGGACGUUGUGGGGCACCAUGGCUACCACUACUGGAGGGACAGGUGGGAGCAGUUUGACAAGAAAUACCUGAGUCAGCUGCUGAUGCGACGAUCAGCCUACCGCAUCCGGGACCAGAUCUGGGAUGUGUACUACAGGCUUAACAUCCGGGAUGCCAUCAGCUUUGUGGACCAGGGAGGCCACGUCUUGUCUUCCACAGGUCUCACUCUGCCUUCUAUGCCCAGCCGCAAUUCUGUGGCAGAAACUUCUGUCACCAACCUGCUGAGGGAGAGUGGCAGUGGAGCGUGUCUGGAUCUGCAGGUGAUUGACACAGUACGCAGUGGCCGGGAUCGUGAGGACGCUGUGAUGCAUCAUCUGCUCUGCGGAGGCCUCUACAAGCCGCGCCGUAGGGAUAGAGCUGAGGACAGAGCCCUGUGGCAUGCUACUAAAGACUUUCCUCCAGACUGACAUGGAUCAAGCAUUUUUGGGUACAAAGCCAGCUGCAGUCGCCACUUCAUCUCAGAGGAUGCGCAGGAGCGGCAGGACAAGGAGGUCUUCCAGCAGAACAUGAAGCGGCGGCUGGAGUCCUUUAAGUCCACCAAGCACAACAUCUGCUUUACCAAGAGCAAGCCACGACCCCGCAAGACUGGCCGCAGGAAGAAGGAUGGUGUGGCGAAUGCUGAGGCUACAAAUGGGAAACAUCGAGACCUGGGCUUUCGGGACACAGCUGCUGUGAUAUUAACCGUGGAGUCUGAGGAGGAGGAGGAGGAGAGCGACAGUUCAGAGACAGAGAAGGAGGACGAUGAGGGGAUCAUCUUUGUGGCUCGGGCCACCAGUGAGGUUCUCCAAGAGGGCAAGGUCUCAGGAAGCCUUGAGGUGUGCCCAAGCCCACGAAUCAUUCCCCCCUCCCCAACCUGUGCAGAGAAGGAGCUCCCCUGGAAGAGUGGGCAGGGGGACCUGGCAGUGUACGUGUCCUCGGAAACCACCAAGAUUGUGCCUGUGGACAUGCAGACGGGUUGGAACCAGAGCAUCUCAUCCCUGGAGAGCCUAGCGUCCCCUCCCUGUAACCAGGCCCCAAUUCUGACUUGCCUGCCUCCCCAUCCACGGGGUGCUGAAGAGCCCCAGGUCCCUCUCCACCUGCCUUCUGAUCCACGCCCUAGCUUCGCCUUCCCACCGAGCCUGGCCAAGGCUGGCCGCUCUCGCAGUGAGAGCAGCGCUGACCUCCCCCAGCAGCAGGAGCUGCAGCCCCUCAUGGGCCACAAGGACCACACCCAUCUCAGCCCAGGCACCGCUACCUCCCACUGGUGCAUCCAGUUCAACAGAGGCAGCCGGCUGUAGCUCAGGGUCUCCGGGAGGAGCAGGAGGUGGAAUCCCUGUGGGAAAUGCUCCCUGGGCGAUGGGUAGAGCCCUCGAAACGACAUGGGGCCAGAGGGGCCUGAGUUGAAGUAGUAAUUGGGCUUCCUUGGGGCUGGUCAGAGGGGUCACCUAAGCUGGUCCUCACAGGGGCCUUUCUCACCACCUCCCUGCUCCUAAGCCCUGCCACUUUCUGUUUCAUUAAGGCCUCUACUCUGGCUCAGGACCCAGUCCAGGCCUUCUACGGGCUAGGCCCAGAGACUUGGGUUGCUGGUCCCCCUUCCCUAGUGGGUUUUCCCAGGGACUCUAUAGGCAGCUGCUCCUGCCACCAAAGCAAGGGCAUCAUUCCUAUUCUUCAGUGGAUGCCAGCCUUCCCUGCCCCCACUCCCUCCCCAGCACUGGGUCAGUGGUGUCCUGGCAGUGAGGCUCCGUAAGGGGCUGGCCCUUAGAGGAACUGGGGUGGGAGGUGGGGCAGGCCUCACCCUUGGGCUUUGCUGCCCUGUUGGGUCAGCUACCCAUAGUCCAUAUUUUUAGGGCAGUGGGAACCUCUGCCUCCACUUCCUGCUUUAGCCCCUUCCCUUGCUGCCAGGUAUUGGGGUAAUAGUUCCUCCUUUUCCAAGACCAAGGCCAAGAGGCUGGGCCAGGCUUCAGUUCAGGCCUGUUGCUUAAAUGGGGUCACCCUGGGAUCUGCUGCUCUGGGUCUAAGUCUAGACCUUUCUGAUCCUUGGGUCUGGGUUUUUUGAGGAGGGGACAUAGUGGCCUCUGGGCUGCCAUGUCACCACCUGAACAUUCCCCAAACAGAGAAGGAACCCAGCAUCUCAGGGCCACUGCUCCAUUGCUCUGGGGGCUGGGAUGCCUGGCUAAGCAGGGGCUGACAGGGUGGCAGGUGACUUUCUAGGGGUCAGCACCUGCUUUGUGUUUUGUACCUUGAACCUAAGAUACAUUAAACAUCUCUCAGAUGG
rnacentral:sRNA from 1 species